rnacentral:tRNA from 1 species
ACCUGGGUGGCUCAGUCGGUUGAGCGUCUGACUUCGGCUCAGGUCAUGAUCUCACGGUUUGUGAGUUCGAGCCCCACGUCGGGCU